UCUUCUUCUGCGCAAAUGCUGUCCUAGCCCCGCCGCGUUUUUACGCAUCUCCAUCUUCCCGCGGAGCAGGUCCCAGAACUUUCUCGGUCAGGCAGGCUGGAAGGAGCACACCUGGGGGUCCAACCGCCCUAUUCCUGGAGGGAGCCUCCUCUCCUUCUGGGAUGCUGAGACUUUGUGGAAGUGAAUUUAGAAGCCGCCGGGCAGGCCAGACCCUUCACGGUGUCCCGAGAGGUGCGGAAAAUGAACACAUCUCAGCUGCACGUCGUUUCCCUGCACGUACGGUCUUUAGCCAAAGACUCAAGACUCAAAAACUCAUGGCCUCCUUCAGUCAGCUCUGUCUCCAGGAUCUUACACCACAAAUGGGAGUUGCGUUGGCCUCUGAAUUUCUGGUUCUGUCUCCUCAACUUCCUGAGACCUCUGCGUUCUGUUUUGGUACCAUAUUCUGAUCUGAAACUCCGUUAUUUCUUCUUUUUCUGGGAUCCUUACCCUGCAGUGCCUGUUACCAGGUACUGCUCCAUCAUGGGAGAAGGGGAAACCUCAUGCCGUAGAUCCCUGCUAAGUUCAGUAUUAUGUGUGCUCGUGAUUUAGCCCAAGGAGAUUCAUACUUUCUGAACAUCGGGGGGGACAAAUGUUUUUGUUGUCAACUCUGCAAGGAAAGCUUCAAAUGAGCACCUUUGUUGUGCCAUCCCUGAAAAUGCGUCUUCUUUCACAUUCAGAAUCCUAGAAGCCCAUGCAGCAGGCCCAAGUCUUAAAUUAUUUCCCAUUGACAGGGUAUUGCUAUACAAAACCAGGAGUGAUCUUAAGGCUGGAACAAGCAGAAGAUCUAUGCUCAUUAGAGAAAGAAAUUCUAACCAGGAGAUCUUCAGAAGACUGCCAAGAUGAUAACCUCUUAGAGAAGAGCCAACAAAUCCAAGACAGACAUUUGUGGCAAGUUUUACUUACUCAUUUUCAGAGAACUGACACAGGAGGGGAAAGUUUCGACCAGGGGUCACACACAAGAAGAACAAACCAGAGAAAUUAGGCGGAGGUGACCCCCUUUGAAUGUGGACGAAACUUCAGCCAUAAUUCAGCUUACACACCAGAGAAAUUCUGUGAUUAUAAUAAACAUAGGGGAGCCCUCUGCCCCCAGUCAGCCUUCAGGGUACGUCAGAGGACUCGCAUAAGAUCGAAACCCUAUGAGUGUUGCAGAUGUGGGAAAUGCUUCUGUAAGAAAUCGUACCUCCUCAUGCACCAGAGAAUUCACACAGGGGAGAAACCUGUGUAAUGAAUGUGGGAAAGAUUUCAGCCACAAGCCAAGCCUAUGGAAACAGCAGAGAACUCACACAGGGGAGAGACCGUACGAAUGUAUGGAAUGUGGGAAAACUUUCAGCUGGAAGUCAGACCUGAGAGUCCAUCAGAGAACUCACACAGGGGAGAAACCCUACGAGUGCAGUGAAUGUGGAACACCUUUGGUGCAGAAGUCAACUCUCAAAACCCAUCAGACAAUUCACAAAGGGGAGAAGGCUUAUGAAUGUAAUGAAUGUCAGAAAACCUUCACCCAGAAUUCACCCCUCAGAACACAUCAGACAACUCACACAGGGAAGAAGCCCUAUGCAUGUAAGGAGUGUGGGAAGGCCUUCAACCAGAAGUCAAGCCUAGGAACGCAUCAGAGAACUCACACAGGGGAGAAGCCGUACAAAUGUAAUGCAUGUGGGAAGGCGUGCAGUCAGAAGUCAGGCCUAAGAAAACACCGGACAACUCACGCAGGGGAGAAGCCGAAUGAAUGUGAUGAGUAUGGGAAAGCGUUUAGCGAGAAAUCUGGCUUACAAUUACACCGGAGAACUCACACGGGGGAAAGACUAUAUAAGUGUAAUGAGUGUGACAGAGCCUUCACCUACAAAUCAAUCCUCAGAGGACAUCAGGAGGGUCAUAAAAGGGAGAAACUCUCUAAAUAUGAUGAAGGUGAGAAAGCUUUCAGCGAGAAAUCUGGCUUACGAUUGUUGCAGAGAAGUCACCCAGGGGAGGAACCAUACGAAUGUAGAGAGCACGGCUGAGCCUUCAUCUCUAGAUCAGUCCUCACAGGACAUCCGGAAGCUCCUACAGGGGAGGAAUGUAUUAAUGUGAUGAACGUGGGGAAGCUUUUAGCCAUAAAUCGGACUUCAGAAAACAUCAGGGGACUCUCACGGUAAGAGGAACACUGAAUGGAAAGAAUGUGGUAGAACUUAACCUCAGGGAUCACACACACAGGAAAGCCUUACAACCCCACUGAGUGAAGGAAAAUCUCGAUUGCAGAUCAGACGCUCAAAACUAUAGCUGUUCUGUGUUGCGGACUUCAGACGGCUCUCCUGAAAGUUCUCCAGGACCUGUCAUUUGCUGAGUAUUUGCCUGGGUUGGCCUACUCCUCACACGUGUGUGUGUCUGGCUCCACGAAACCUCUGACGUAGUGUAGAGCUGAUACAAGAAUUCUUUUUGUCUUACCAAACAAUUGAGCCCUUCCAGAGAGCGCCGUCAGCCUUCCCUGGGUCCCGUAACCCCAGUAGAGAACCAGGAGUUAAGUGGAUCCGUGUAAACCUGUAGACCUGGGUGCACUCCCGACUCAGCUACUUACUAGACCAGCAACCUCCUCGCCCUGAGUCUCCACUCCCUUCUUUGUGAACUGUCGCCCAUGUUUGUUGCAAGGGUUAAAGGGCACAGGGUGGAAACAAAGCAGUGUCGAUUCCCUUCUGUCUUACAUAAUUCAUGCCUCCUAAGAGAGGAUACGGGUAAAGUUAGGGGAAAAACAGGCAGGAACAUGGAGAUGACGGGAACUUGAAGAGAAAGUGAGAGUUCUGAAGGAGGGGUGGGAGUCGGAGCUGCAGGUGUCCCUACAGUGCUUGGUGGGGCUCAUGGCUCCACUCCUUGGGCCCUUCCCGUCCAGGACACCCCAGAUCUCAUACCCUCGUGACUCAACUCUCCCUGGACAACCACAGUGGUGGCAGACCGUCCUCAGAGACCUGCUUCUCUGGUUUUCGCAGACGCAAGCUCAGGGCCACAGCAACCAUCUUGAGAUUUUUGUGGGCUGGAAAUGGGUAAAAAUGGGCGUUCUGUUGCCAGAACUAAGGAUUUGGGUAAAGUCCAGGAUUCUCGACUAAGCCUUACCAGCAGUUUCUUGAUAAUCUUUAAAAUAUGUGGAGCCCAACUACAUUAAUCUAUUUUUAUUUAAAGCAGCUUGUAAUUUGAUUUAUAAACAUUUCUCUCUAAAAGAAAAAUGUGUAUUAGUAAUAAUAAAUGAAACCAAUUUAUAACUUGCCAUGUAUAGAAACUAAUUGAAAAAAUAUUUACAGAAACAGAACAGCAGUUUAAAAAAUUAUAAGUAGAUGAUGUAAUCAAUUUCAAAACUCAUCUCUGACAUUAGAAAAAUGACUUGAGGAAACCUGUGAGGUAUAGGAAAGAGUGUCAGCGCUUGGGGUCUUCCAGUGACUAAAAUAUCUUACCGGUCUUGAAGUUCAAAAGAUUGAGAUGGCCUUUGCUACUUUCCAUAAGGUGGAAGGAAGGACGCAGCUCAAACCAGUUGUGGGGUGGAGGCACAGAAAAUGAAAAUGUACGACUUCUAGAUUAUGGGGAUGAUCACAGGCAGGAAGCUGCAGAUAAGCAUUUACAGAGCAAAGCAAAUGAUUUCCCCCUGGUAGGAGUGGAGUUUGGGAAGCCCCGUUUGUUUGGAAAGUGGCCUCUGCACCGUCUCAAAAAGCUCCCAACCUGAGGAAAACAGGCUCAUGGUUAGUUUUAGGGGCCCAGAUAUGGCACACUGGCCCCGGGUCCCCCUGACUUGUUACGGACAAACCAAGUUCUAAGGAAGAAGCAAGGUAGAAUUCCUUCGUAACAGUCUCCUCCUUUCCAUGCCCGUUCACCGGACUUGUAGUUGAGACUCUUGCUUCUGAAACAUGAAAAUGUUGUACGUGUAGAGACCAUAUGACAAAUAUGCAGGUUGUGGAGCACAAUAGAAUGUGACCUGUGAACCCACUACCUCGCUUAAGGACGACGGUAUUGGCCGUGAAAAAGUGAGAGUGUAUCCACUGGGAUACUCUUGCCCUAUCUAUCUCCUCCCUCCCAGAGACAGCAGCUAUUCAAAAUUGCGUGUGUGUUUGUGUGUGUGUGUGUGUGUGCGCGCACAAGUGUGUAUCACUGAUUUGCCUUUGAAAAAAUAAUAAUUACGAAUCUAUAAACAAUAAUUGUAUGGUUCUACUUACUUUGAAAUUAGAAUGGUCAUGUGUCCUGCCUUUGUGACAUGGCUUUUUUUGAGUCAAUGUGAUGUACCUAACAUUCAUACAUACUGAUUUGGAUGGUUGUACUUCAUUCAGUUUCAUUUAUGUAUAGCUUGAUAUUAAAAUGUAUUCAUUCAUGGUUUUGGCCCGGUAUUUUGAAGUAAAGAAAUAGAGGAAAUGUGUUUCUAAAUUCUAACUUCUUGAAGGAAGAGAAAAAAAAAGAAAAUGGAAAGGUUGGGUUGCAGGCUUAUGCCAGGAUGUUGAUAUGAAAUUCUCCAACUCAGUUUACCUGGGCUGCAGGGUCUCAGCUGGAAGCAUCCCAUGUUCCAAAAGGUGGUGUCUAGUUACCAAGCAAGACUUGUCAAGAAGCGUCCGGAAGCUACUCUGUGACUGAUGAGUUCAAGAGACAUGAUUGGGUAAUUACGAAGUGUUUUAUCAUUGAUGCUUGUUGGUAACUUUUAAUUUUUUAUUAAGAUAAAGUAUACAUAAUAUAAAAUUUACCAUUUUAA